rnacentral:lncRNA from 1 species
GGCUAAUCUUUCUAUACUACUAUGCUUGUUUGCAUUAAAUUGAAAAGAGCUAUUUGGUUUGAUCAAAGUAUGUAUUAGCUAGGACUUACAAGGAUAUUUAAAUACUUUGAUUGAUGGUGGAGGCUUGACAACCCAAGAGAUUUGAUCCUUGGAAAGAAUUGAUUCUUUCCAAGAAUAAGGACUGAAACGUUGCUUUUCUUGAUUGCUCCUUGAUUGAUGAUGUUUCCCAGUUUGGUCGCGUACAAGAUUUCCCCCUUGAGCUGGAGAUAUGAUUCAACUCUGAUUUCCUUUGAUUGCGCGUUCUCCAGUUUAGUCUUCCUUCUAUAUCUUCCCGUUACCAUCAGAUAUUUGUACUGAAUCUUUUAGUGUGUCUUGGUAGAUAUGAUUUCCCACAAUUUACGAAGGACUUCCUGAUUUGCUGAUAAGAAGCUGAUCCUUUCCUUGAGCGUCAACAGCUACCUUCAAGGAAGAUUUCCUUCCCUUUCGCUACAACAAUUUUACUUUCUUGUGCAAACAUAAUGGCAGCCUCUCUUUUAGCUCUUUCCUUGUUUGCUAUAUUAGUUCCAGUACUUCCGCUUCCCUUUUUUUGAAUACCUGCACAUGUAUAUUAAUUGCAUCAUUAAAAUCUGAUCUAACAAUCUCCCAUUUUUUAUGAUGGCAAAAUUAAUAUACAAGAGAGUAAACAACAAUUGACUUCCCUGUUUAUGUGCAGUUGGAUUAUUCCCCCUCAAUAUAUGGUCAACUGGACUUUGUGCAUUUGAAUUGCUCCCACUCAUUAUGUGCAGUUUGAUAAAUACCUAUCAAGUAUUAAUUAACAGAUACAGGAAUCAUGAGGUAUUGACUGUAAAGUCAAUUGAGAUAUAUUUGUCUAGUAUAGUCGACUUGUCCUGUUCAGAUAAGAUAAUAGCUAUGCCACAUCAUAGUUAACUUAAACACAUAUACCAUGCAUAGUUGACUUGAUCUGUAUUCCUGUAUACAAACUAUGCCAUAUCAUAGUCAGCCGAACAAAUAUCCUGCAUAUGAAAAAGGAUGCAUGCAUAUAUAUAUAUAUAUAUAUAUCCCCCUUUUUGACAUCAGCAAAGAGGGAGCUAAGGCAAAAGUAAUAUCCACAGACAAAAACAAAAAACAUCCAUGGGCACAGCCCAAAUACCAAAAUAAUAUGUGUAAAUUACAUCCACUAGCGACGCAGGAAAUAGGUAAGGGUGUUGUAGAUAACCUCCUCCAUUUGGUCAAAGCUAGUGUUGGCAGCUAUGCCGAAUCCAUCCAGCUUGUCAUGCACCUCCUUGAAUGCUUUGACUGCAUUCUCCCAUACUCAUUGCACCGCAACCCUGAUUUUGGAGACAUCAGACACUGUUUCUUUGUAAAUGGUAUGAAUGGCGUCCACAGUCGACUUGAUGUAUGAGAGUUGAGACUCAAGGGAACGUAGUUUUUCCCUAAGGUCUGUGGGAAUAGGAGAGGCUGGAAGGACAAAGUAUGGUU